AUUGAACGCUGGCGGCAUGCCUUACACAUGCAAGUCGAACGGUAACAGGUCUUCGGAUGCUGACGAGUGGCGAACGGGUGAGUAAUACAUCGGAACGUGCCUAGUAGUGGGGGAUAACUACUCGAAAGAGUGGCUAAUACCGCAUGAGAUCUACGGAUGAAAGCAGGGGAUCGCAAGACCUUGUGCUACUAGAGCGGCCGAUGGCAGAUUAGGUAGUUGGUGGGAUAAAAGCUUACCAAGCCGACGAUCUGUAGCUGGUCUGAGAGGAUGAUCAGCCACACUGGGAAUGAGACACGGCCCAGACUCCUACGGGAGGCAGCAGUGGGGAAUUUUGGACAAUGGGCGAAAGCCUGAUCCAGCCAUGCCGCGUGUAGGAUGAAGGCCUUCGGGUUGUAAACUGCUUUUGUACGGAACGAAAAGCCCCGGGUUAAUACCCUGGGGUCAUGACGGUACCGUAAGAAUAAGCACCGGCUAACUACGUGCCAGCCGCCGCGGUAA
rnacentral:rRNA from 1 species